rnacentral:rRNA from 1 species
GAUGAACGCUGGCGGCGUGCCUAAUACAUGCAAGUCGAGCGAACAGACGAUGAGCUUGCUCCUCUGACGUUAGCGGCUGACGGGUGAGUAACACGUGGAUAACCUACCUAUAAGACUGGGAUGACUUCGGAAAACCGGUGCUAAUACCGGAUAAUAUAUUGAACCGGAUGGUUCAAUAGUGAAAGACGGUUUUGCUGUCACUUAUAGAUGGAUCCGCGCCGCAUUAGCUAGUUGGUAAGGUAACGGCUUACCAAGGCGACGAUGCGUAGCCGACCUGAGAGGGUGAUCGGCCACACUGGAACUGAGACACGGUCCAGACUCCUACGGGAGGCAGCAGUAGGGAAUAUUCCGCAAUGGGCGAAAGCCUGACGGAGCAACGCCGCGUGAGUGAUGAAGGUCUUCGGAUCGUAAAACUCUGUUAUUAGGGAAGAACAAAUGUGUAAGUAACUCUGCACGUCUUGACGGUACCUAAUCAGAAAGCCACGGCUAACUACGUG